AGAGCAGGUUGCACAGGACUGCUGCAUCCAGGAGGAAAUUACUACUGUCAACAACCAAAACUCCUUCGCACUUGUUUCUCUUCCUUUCCAGAGGCUGGUGCUUGAAUUACUGUAACUAUGGAAUUUAGUUUAUAAGCAGAGGGUGGGAAACAGGAAUUCAACUAAUCAUUACGUAGAUCUGCAAUGAACUCCCAGUCACUCUGGACCUAUGGAAUUGUCUUCCUUUCUUUAAAGAAGAAACUGAAGAAAGCCCAACCUUCCAAAAGCUACAUGGAACUUUUUAACACUGAAAUGGAACUACUAUCCAGACGUGCAAUUAUUGCAAUACUAUCCAGCUCUGCACAUCUCCAGAGGGUUUGCCUCUAAAAGUCUGAGCAAAGGCACAAUUCAUCAGGCUGUACUGAUUCACACCAAGGCCCCCCUACUCUAAUAUUUGGAUUCAUUUGUGGACACAUCUAUGGAGGAAUGAUCACAGGGUAAGA